GCCCAAUCAUGUUGUUUGUUUCACACAUUUUAUAGUUCUGGCCGGGUCAUUUUAUAUCUUACCGAGUCAUCCUAAAAUUAUAGCUGACUGAGUGACUGGAAAACUUCCGUUGAUGCCCUUUUCCGUAAACGCGUCUAUCUCCUCGUUCUUGAGCACACCAACAACCAAAUCACCCCUUGCCCCUGCUACACCUCUUUUCCACAUCUGAAAUCGAUGUCGAUUUCACCAAAAACGAGGACUCUACCAUCGUAAAAUUCAAUAGGUUGAAUCGCCAAUUUUCUGAUUCCAUUCAGAAAUUAGAGAUGAGUGGCGUGCAAGUCUAUCUCUUUGGCGACAUCGUCUGAAACUGAUGCUAAAAUCAGACCUUCCUCUACUGAAACUGAUGCUGAUUUCACCACAGGUGUUGUUAUUGGUGCUAGUUAUGAGGCUACUCUAUUCCAAAUAUACCUUAUCUUUUUGCAUCUUACAUCAUCGGAGUUACUGGGAGUUGCUGGUUAGGUUCUUCAUGAAUCAUGGUGCUGCUAAAAUUGUCUGGGUUUGGACUAAAAUGCCCCUAAAGUUGAUGUUACAUACUAAUAAUUAUUAAUUGUUGCUAAUCUAUUCGAUAUCAUCCAAGUGGUUAAAAACUGUUUGCUGGAAUUUUGUUGCAUAGUACUUAUAUGUGUGGAAGAUAUAUGUGAUCUUUUGUUUGUUAUUUGGUUAUGUUUGUUAAUAACUCGAAUGUAUUGUUGUUCAUAAGCUUUAGUAAGAUUUGUUGUUUAUAAACUUUGAAAUUAUUUACAUUUAAUUUGAAUUUUUAUGAUAGUUUGUAUAACUAUUCAUUAGUUUUAUAAAUUUUAUUCGGAUAUUGUAUAAAACAGAUGCAUUUAAUUAUUAAGCACAAACAAAAAGAAGGGUAAAAUAGUCAUUUUCAACGCUCAGUCAGAUGCAUAAUCAAACAACAUAGUUUUAGACAGAAGCAGAUGUAGUCAGAGCUUCAAACUCGGUCAGAUCCUUACUCAGUCAGAUCUUACUCGGUAAGCAACUAUCAAACAUCCCCUUAGGCUGGAAACUCACGCCUCUCUUUUCUUCUCUGGUUCUUUGGUGUGUAUGCCGGCAAAAACAAAAUCGAAUCCACCCUCUUUCUUAAUCGAUCAAUAUGAGAUGUUCGGUUGGUAGUAUAAGGGUGGUGUUGGCGGUUAGCUUACGAUGAGGAGAUAGUGGUGUUCGAAGGGAGAUUGUUUAUGGUGGUACAAGGUGGCUGAAACGAUAUGGCAGAUACGGUGGUGCGCUUCUCGGAAAAUUGAAGGCUUGUUGGUCGGCUGCGAAUGGUGAAACAGCUGGUUUUUCUGAUUGUAUGGUUCUCAGUAGAGGGUGGAAGGAGAUGAAGCAAGUCCGUUCGAGAUUAGUUGGUCGGCAGGUUGAAGGAGGUCAAAAAUAGGUCCGAUUAAGUGGUGGUGGUAAUGUCGGUGUUGGUGCAAUCAUCUUGUAGAUCUGGUGGCAAUGGUGCCAUGGUUGUUGUGCAAUGGUAGAAUCGUUUUUAUUGUGAUAGAAGCGGUGGUGAAGGUUGUAUAGUUGAUAGAUUUCUUGAAAGAGAGAUCAUAGACUGUAAAGAGAGAUUAUAGACUGUA